rnacentral:rRNA from 1 species
UACCUACGGGACGCAGCAGUGGGGAAUAUUGGACAAUGGGGGGAACCCUGAUCCAGCGACGCCGCGUGAGUGAAGAAGUAUUUCGGUAUGUAAAGCUCUAUCAGCAGGGAAGAAAAUGACGGUACCUGAAAAAGAAGCUCCGGCUAAAUACGUGCCAGCAGCCGCGGUAAUACGUAUGGAGCAAGCGUUAUCCGGAUUUACUGGGUGUAAAGGGAGAGUAGGUGGCAGAGCAAGUCCGAAGUGAAAACCCAAAGCUCAACUAUGGGAAUGCUUCAGAAACUGCUCAGCAAGAGUGAAGGAGAGGG